CAGGGCCUUGCUGUCAACGUGAUCUGAUGUUUUUGGUUCUCUCCCAUUUCUGGAGUGUGUGAGUAAGACUCCAGCCCCAACACUACAAAUUAGCAUGGGAUAUGGGUGUCUGCAUUCAAACUGACUCGUUUCAAAUGGUUCUUCUCAUCCCUGUACAGAGUUCUUCUCUUCUCGUCUGUGGAACUUUGGGGGGUUUUGCUGUGACAUUUCCAUGGACCACUCAAUGCCAUAACCAGGGAAAAUAUCUCCUUGGAAAUCUCUGCUUUUUGACAAGCUUGAUUAAUUAA
rnacentral:lncRNA from 1 species